rnacentral:lncRNA from 1 species
GGAGNGAGGCGGGCGAGAGCGGCGGGGAGGGCAUCUUCCGGGAGCGCGACGAGUUCGUCAUCCGCGCCGAGGACAUCCCUUCCCUCAAGGUGAGUCCCCGGCAUGGCACGCUGGGCCCGGGGGUUUGGUCCCUCAGCGGUUAUGGAAUGCCUGCCGGGUGACAGGCCCCGAAUCCACAGGCCGAUGGGGCCAGAACAUCCAGAGGACAUGCGGGGCUCUGAGAUGCGGGGGGCGUGUGUGUCCCAUAAAGGAGAGCGAUGGUUAACAUUUAUUGCAGGUAUUGUGGGGGCUGGGGUUCCAGGAGGCAGGUCCUGGUCUCGGUAAAGCUUCUAAUGUAAUGGCACAAGCCAAGAGAGUGGUGACUUGGCGAGGUAUGCUGUGUUGGUGGACGCGUGUGGAAUCGACAGAAUAUACCUGUGAAUGCGCGCGCAUGCCGAGGUAGUCUGUAAACUGAGUAGCCAAUGAUUUGGGAGCGUGAGGCCACAUCUUAAAACACUUUAUACAGAUCGCCGCGUUCACUGCUCCCAGUUACGCUACUCCAGAGGUUGGCAAACUGGCCUGGAUGGGCCAAGUGCAGCCCACGACCUCUUCCUAUAAAGUUUUACUGGCACCCAGCCAUGCCCAGACGUUUCCAAAUCCUCCAGCGCCCAUAUCGUGGCGGGGUGAGAUGGUUGAGGCAGAGGCUAGCUGACCCACAAAGCCAAGAAUCUUUCUUUUCUGCUCCAUGAUGGAAAAAGUUUGCCGAUCUCUGCUCCACUCGGUUCAUGGGACAGAUAGGUUUGGACCAGAGGAUUAAUAGCAGGGGUGCUUGGUGAGGGUAGGUGACUUCAGGCGCUCGUGCAGUGCGUCUCCCAGAACAGGAGACUGAGCAAGUGCUUGGUGGGUCAGCAAGCCAUGGUUCCCUUGAUGGCGACCCUGAAGACUAAGCUCCUUCUUCAUAUUAGUCACUGUCACGGACUGGGUAUUGAUUACGGGGCCAGGAACACGUGUGGCCCUUGAUGUACGUCAUCGCGUUUAAUUUAAUCUCGGGUGUUGUUUCUUCAGACGGAGAUGUUGCGGGAUGAAUUAAUUAUAAGGUUAAUAACUUGUGUUAUGCUUUAUUAUCUCGUGUACUUUGGGAGAUGAACUUAAUGUGUUAUAUACAGUCUUAUCUUUAUUUUUAUUUAUUUUAUUUUAUUUUGUAAGGUUUUUUUUUUUUUUUUUUUUAAGUAUGAAAUUUAUUGUCAAAUAGGUUUCCAUACAACACCCAGUGCUCAUCCCAGCAGGUGCCCUCCUCAAUACCCGUCACCCACCCUUCCCUCCCUCCCACCCCCCAUCAACCCUCAGUUUGUUCUCAGUUUUUAGGAGUCUCUUAUGCUUUGGCUCCCUCCUUCUCUAACCAUUUUUUUUCCCCUUCCCCUCCCCCAUGGUCUUCUGUUAAGUUUCUCAGGAUCCACAUAGGAGCGAAAACAUAUGGAAUCUGUCCUUCUCUAUAUGACUUAUUUCACUUAGCAUAAUGCUCUCCAGUUCCAUCCACGUUGAUACAAAAGGCCAGAUUUCAUUUCUUUCUCAUUGCCACGUAGUAUUCCAUUGUGUAUAUAAACCACAAUUUCUUUAUCCAUUCGUCAGUUGGUGGACAUUUAGGCUCUUUCCAUAAUUUAGCUAUUGUUGAGAGUGUAGUCUUAUUUUUAGUCGUUUUUUUUUUAAGUUAUUUUAAGAGAGCACAAGUGGGGGAGGGGCAGAGAGAGGGGGGAGAGAGAGAGAGAGAGAGAGAGAGAAAGAGAAUCUCAAGCAGACUCUGUGAUGUCAGCACAGAGCCCGAUGAGGGGCUUGAUCUCACAAACCCCGGAUCAAGACCUGAGCCGAAAUCGAGAGUCAGACGCGGGGGCACCUGGGUGGCUCAGUCAUUUAGCAUCUGACUUCGGCUCAGGUCAUGACCUCAUGGUUCGUGAGUUUGAGUCCACAUUGGGUGAGCCCCCCAUUUCUCUCUCUCUUUCUCUCUCCCUCUGUCCCUCCUGGGCUUCUCUCUCUCUCUCUCUCUCUGCCCCUCGCUCACUUGAGCCCUCUCUCUGAAAAAAAAAAAGAAAGGUCAGACGCUUAACCCACUGAGCCACUCAGGUGCCCCCACAGAAUUUAGUUUGAUCUUUUUUUCUUAAUUGUGGUAGCCUGUAUAUACCAUGACAUUUGUCAUUCUAACCAUUUAAAAAAAAAAUUUUUUUUUAACGUUUAUUUAUUUUUGAGACAGAGAGAGACAGAGCAUGAACGGGGGAGGGUCAGAGAGAGGGAGACACAGAACCUGAAACAGGCUCCAGGCUCUGAGCUGUCAGCACAGAGCCUGACGCGGGGCUCGAACUCACAGACCGUGAGAUCAUGACCUGAGCCGAAGUCAGCCGCUUAACCGACUGAGCCACCCAGGCGGCCCGUCAUUCUAACCAUUUUUAAGUGUAUCAUUCGGUGGCAUUAGGUGCAUUCACAUCGUUAUGUAACUAUCGCCAUUGUCUGUCUCCAAGUUUUAUAUUCAUAAUUCUCCUUCACGAUAGGGAUUGCUAGCCCCGUUUUACAGGGAAGGAAACUGAGGCGUAGAGUGGUACAGUAGCCUUCCUAGACUUUCAUGGUUGGGGACUGACGCCAGCUCUGUUGGCCCCAGGAGCCCGGGGUCUCAGUACCAGAUUCAGCCUUUCUCUGUCCAUUCUGUCAAACAUUGACAGUGACAGCGGCGGAUGCUGCUGGGCCAGAAUAACAGAGCUUUUACAGAUGAGGAAGUUCACGUUCAGAGAGAGGGACUCGUUCGGCUGGUGGGUGCCGAGCCGGGAUAGGAGCCACAGCUUUCUGACACCACCUCCCAGCUGGCACGGGGCCGGGCAAGGAUUCAGAUGCUUAAAAUACAACACGAGUGUGCAUUACAAUGGGGGACACACAGCCCCAGGACUGAACCACUCAUGCAAACGUCGGAGACUCGUUUGUGUGCUUGGAGUCGGGGCAGGCUGGUGGCAUCGUUACUGAGAGCCCAGCUUUGGCGUUAACCUGACAGGCUUAAAUCUCAGCCACUUCUGGGCUGGGCUGGUGUUGACCCUUCCUGACCCUCCGUUUCCUCAUUUCCUCCCUCAGGUAAUGGGAAGAUCCAGGCAUUAAUGCUUGCCUGGGGCUUUAUGGAACCGGGGGUGGCACACAGUAGGUGUCCUAAAACUUUCGCUUCUGUUACUCACCUCAGUGCUCUUGGGCGAACCUAGUGCAGAGCUUGGGUAACUUUUUCCGUGAAGGGCCAGCCAAUAAAUACUUCGGGCUUUAUAGGUCAGAGGGUUUCUGCUACAUAUUCUUGUUUUGUUUUGUUCACAAUCCUUUAAAAAUUAGGAACCAUUUUUAGCUGGUAGGUGUGUAAAAAUGGGCAACAGGCCACUGGUCGAGAACAAUGAUAGUCCAGUAGAAAUAUCAGUGAACCAUACACGUCAUUUCAAACUUUCUCGUAUCCAGGGGUGCCUGGGUGGCUCAGUCGGUUAAGCGUCCCGACUUCAGCUUAGGUUGUGAUCUCCCGGUUUGUGAGUUUGAGCCCCGCGUUGGGCCCUGUGCUGACGGCCCGGAGCCUGCUUUGGAUUCUGUGUCUCCCUAUGCCUGUUCCUCCCUGCUCGUGCUCUGUCUCCCUCUCUCUCAAAAAUAAAUAAACAUUUUUAAAAAAUUUAAAAAUAAGCUUUCUUGUACCCACGCUUAAAAGAUAGGGGAGCUGGCUUAAUGAGUAGAGCACAUGACUUUUUUUUUUUUUUUUUUUUAAGUUUAUUUAUUUAAGAGAGAGCUCAAGCUGGAGAGGGACAGAGAGAGAGGGACAGAGAGACUCCCGAGCAGGUUCCGCGCUGUCCGCAUGGAGCCCAACAUGGGGCUUGAACCCACAAACUGCGAGAUCAUGACCUGAGCUUGAAACCGAGAGUCAGACUCUUAACUGACUAAGCCCCCCAGAGGCCCCGAGCACUGGACUCUUGAUCUCAACAGUUGUGAGUUCAAGCCCCAUGCUGGGCGUGGAGCCUUCUUAAAAAACAAACAAACAAGUUCAAAGAUGGGUGAGAUUGGCCACAUUGUAUUUUCUGUAACAGUGUAUUUAAAGCCAUCAUUUCAGUAUGUCAUCAACGUAGAAAAAGCUCGAGAUGUUUUACAGUUUUCCCAUAUCAAGUCUUUGACACCCAGUGUGUAUUUUACACUUGUGGACCGUACUCGGGGCAGCUGAAUUAGAAAGCGCGGGGUUAGCCCCCUUCCGUGCCUCAGCGUCCCCAUCUCUAAAAUGAGAGUGAAAAUAUUAACUCCCAGUUCUCGGGGAUGUGGAAGAUUUAGCAGGAUGUAGACCCUGAGCACGGUAAGAGUUUAUGGGGUAGAGAAAUGUACGGGGAAGGGCGGUCCGGGUGGAGGUAGCAGGGUGCAAAGCUCGUGUCAUGAGCAAAAAUGCGUUGUCCUUGUGGCUCAAGGGGUUGAGUGGCUGGAAGUGAGUGCCAAGGCUGGGAAGGUGAGCCAGGGGCCGGGUUAUGCUGGAGUGAGAUCAACGGGCGCCUGCUUGAGACUCCUCUCUGGGUUUUCCGGCAGCUGCUAGGGCUUCUCGCCAGCGGGGAGGUGGCUGGGGAGAUGUCUAGGCCUGAUGGCAGUCUGUCCGCCACCUCAGUCCUGUGACCCUGAUUCCCUGUUAACGGACCAUAAAGCUUUCUUAUUCCCACCCUGCUAGGUGUUUCUGGCUCGUUCUCAUCUUGCUGCUUGCUUCCUACCCUGGUCUCUGCUUGUCAGAGUUCAGAUUCCCAAAAGAGAAUCUGAUUGGUCCAGCUCUGCAUUUGGGGCCAAGAUGAUUUGCUUCCUGAUUGGCUGCCUGGUUAGGUCUCCUCCAAUCGGCUCUGGCUUCCGUCGGGCAGGGGCAGGGGCUUUGGGCAUGUUGGCUUCCCUAAUAAGGGGAAGUGGGUGUGGUCAGUGAUCUGAUCGACAUGAGGAGAGGCAGGAAGGACAGCCUGGGGACUGACCGGCCCUGAUUGGAGAUCAGGCAAGGAUGAUACCAGGGAUUGGAGAUCAGGCAAGGAUGAUACCAGGGAUUGGGCACGAUGGUGGCAGGGAGGCAGAGUGGUUUUGGGAAAGACACCAAGCUCGACUGGGAUGUGGUGAGCCAGGGGACCUGCCUCCAACGAGAGAAUCAAUCGACUCAGAGGAGGCAGAUUACGUAGUGGGAGGAGACCGAGGAGGGGGUGGGCUCCCCCGGCUGGGAAGGAUGCUCUGAUGACUUCUGAGAACUUCAUAUUCACAUUGAGAGGGGAAAAGGCACCCCUGAUGGAGGGCACUGCAUAUGCAAAAAUCUGGGGGUCAGAAAGUCUGGGGUUCAUCUGCUGAACUCUGAGGGGUCGGGAUAGCGUGCUGGGCAGGGGCUGGAGAAGAAAAAGGAAACUGAGGCAAAGUUUCGCUGUGCCAGACUGUGGAGCUUGCACUGGGGGCCCUACAGGGGUUUGGAGCAGAGCAGGAUGUGGUCUGAAAGGAACUUUUCAAUCCUUGGGCCUCUGACCUGGCUUCCCAAGGUCACCGAGAGGAAGGACUGGGAACCACAUAGCAGCCUGGGAAGAAGGACUUGGGGCCAGGACCCUGGCAUCCUUGUCUCAUCCUGCCUCUUGUAAUUUUAAGCCGAGAGCAUUUUGAGACCUCAUUUUCAUCAGGUUAUUGUAAUCCCUUUUUUGCACUCCCCUAGCUGAUCUGAGGGACACAAAAAAUCACGGAGGUGAGGGGCGCCUGGGCGGCUCAGUCACUUGAGCGUCUGACUUCCGCUCAGGUCAUGAUCUCACGGUCUGUGAGCUCAAGCCCCGUAUCGGGCUCUGUGCUGACAGCUCAGAGCCUGGAGCCUGCUUUGGAUUCUGUGUCUCCUUCUCUCUCUGCUCCUCCCCUUCUCAUGCUCUGUCUCUCAAAAAUAAAUAAAUAUUAAAAAAAAAUUUUUUUUUUUUUAAUCGUGGAGGUGAAAACAGCUAACUCCAACUAAGAGUGGGUAGUAGAUAGCUUGGCACACCAACGCCAGUAUUACAGCUGCUGCCAGUGCCAGACAUCAUUAAUUGAUCUCGGCACUUCUCCGGCCAUGCCUGGCUUUCAGGGCAGCCAUGACCAAUCAAUUGGAGUUACCAUCUGUAUCCUGUUUAUCACUUGAGUAUGGAUUCUUUGAACGCAAGGACUACCUUUCGUGCCUCUCUGGGUUAUCACAAUACCUGGUGCACAUUUCCCGUAGCAUCCGUAUUCUUAUCUUUUUUUUUUUUAAUGUUUAUUUUUGCAAGGGGAGGGGAGUGGCAGAGAGAGAGGGAGCCACAGACUCGACUCCAGGCUCUGAACUGUCAGAACAGAGCCUAAAGCGGGGCUCGAACCCACUAGCCAUGAGAUAACCUGAGCCGAAGUCAGACGUUCAACCGACUGAGCCACCCAGACACCUCCCAUGUUCUUAUAUAGUCUGUUAGUUGCUUUCCUCUAGACGCACAACUGUCACACAUGCUGUCCUGUGUCAUUGCUUGGUCCCCCUCAUAGAAGACAUUGUCCAUCCGAGACUCAUUUAGGUAUCCCCUCUUCCAGGAAGUGUUCUUGGAUUCAGAUUGCAUGUGAGGUCCUUAUUUUUUUUCUUAAAAAAUUUUUUUUUAAUGUUUAUUUAUUUUUGAGAGAGACAAGAGACAGAGUGUGAGUGGGGCAGAGGCAGAAUGAAAGGGAGACAGAAUCCGGAGCAGGCUCCAGGCUCUGAGCAAGCGGUCAGCACAGAGCCUGACGCAGGGCUCAAGCUCAGACUGUGAGAUCAUGACCUGAGCCAAAGUUGGACACUUAACCAACUGAGCCACCCGGGUGCCCCAGUCCUUAUUUUUUUUAAUGCUUUUUUUUUUUUUAACGUUUAUUCACUUUUGAGAGACAGAGGCAGCAUGAGUGGGGGAGGGUCAGAGAGGAGACACAGAAUCCAAAGCAGGCUCCAUCCAGGCUCUGAGCUGUCAGCACAGAGCCUGACGCGGGGCUCAAACCCACAGACCACGAGGGGGUCUGCCAUUAACACGUUUAUUACUCGGUGCUGUUAUUUUUUUGUGCCCUGUCUGGUUUUCCUGCUACUGCCCUCACUCCCCCAGAUUAGAUACUGGGUCUGGCCCACAUCCUUCAGUUUCCAGUGUCCAGCUGAGGGUCACACAAGUCUCGGAGUUGUGGAGAGGUUAUCUGAGUGUGUUGGGGGCGUGGAGAAGGGGGGGCCUUACCCUCACCGUGUCUUGCCCUGUUGUCGAUUCGCUGAUCAAAUACAUGGUCUCUGGGAAACUGUCACCUGUCUGUUCCCGGCACAAGCCUCCACUGCGCCCUGUUUCAUUUAUCGACUUGUCUAUCUUGUCACCUCUCUGACAAAGACCCCAUGAGAGGCGUCAGUCUUAUUCAUCACUGGACCCAGGGGUCCAGCACGGUAUCUGGAAAAUGGUGGGUGUGCGCUCAGGAGUCGGUCAUGACGUUAAGUCGCGACAGAGGCUUAUGCCAUCCCACCGUGAAGUUUUUAUAACCAAAACUUUGCCGCCCAAGAACCAACGGCCUUGACUGCGAGGACUGGGGUAAGCCACAGGAGGACGUGGCCAGACUCAAGGUGCCUCCCCAGGGCUGAGAACAUCACACGGCCAGAAGACAUCUGGCUGUCAGUGUUCGUUGAUGGAUGGCUUGUCGACCUCAGUCCCUUUUCUCUUAAGCGGGUAUAGAGGGAGGACAUCGGGCCAGGAAUUGGGGGGCAGGAAGGACAGGAACGAGGGCUGACCUUGCUGGCCUCACUGCACCCCUCCUCAGCUGGCACUGCAGACGGGGCGCGAGCCCCCACCCAUCUGGCGAGUGCAGAAGGCGCUGCUGCAGAAGUUCACUCCGGAGAUCAAGGACGGACAGCGGCAGUUUUGUGCCACCAGUAAUGUAAGCCUGCCCGGGGGGUGGGGAGUGAGGGCUCAAGAGCCCCGGGUGGGAGGGGGGGAGGUCUGGAAGCCGGGCUCCUCCUCACACAUGGCUGUGAUUCAUGCCUAGUCUCGGGUAUAGUCCAGCAGGGGGGCUCCGUUUCCAGUGGCUCCUGUGUCCGCCGCGGGGGCCCUGGGUGGGGUGGGAGUCUUGGUAUCCGGCUGCCUGGCUGGGGUGGACGAAGGAGUUCCUCCUGUGCCUCUUUCCCUCCAUAGUAUUUGGGGUAUUUUGGGGACGCGAAAAACCGGUAUCAGCGCCUUUAUGUAAAGUUCCUGGAAAACGUCAACAAGAAGGAUUAUGUGAGGGUCUGUGCUCGGAAACCCUGGCAUCGGCCCCCAGUGCCCGUCAGGUACCACGGGGAGCCGAGGGGCGGGCAGUUGGUGGGCAGGGUCUACAGGCAUGGGGUUGGAUCAUUCAAGAGAAGAGGCAGAGUCAGGGAGAGUGGACACAGGGUGGGUGACAGAGACCCAGAGAGAAAGAGACUCCAGUCUGGGGCCGGGGGGCCAGGCAGAGACCCCGAGAGGGAACAGAUGGCAAGAGGGGAAGCUGGUUCUGUGCUUAGAGCUGCUGGCGAGGCAGGGGGAUUUCAAGAGGAGAAUUUGGGUUUCUUAGGGGCUGCUGACUGCAUACAGUCCCUUCCGUGUUCCCUUCCAGGCGCUCUGGGCAGGCCAAAGGCCCUGCGUCUUCUGGGGCCAGUUCUGCCCCGCCUCCCAAGGCGCCAGCACCACCUCCUAAGCCAGAGACCCCUGAUAAGACUGUCUGUGAGAAGCCCCCAGAGCAGACGCCUGAGACAGCUGCGCCCGAGCCCCCCGCCCCUGAGAAGCCAUCCCCACCUCGGCCUGUCGAGAAGGAGAAGGAGAAAGAGAAGGAGAAGGAGA